rnacentral:lncRNA from 1 species
UUUGAAGUGGCGGAAGAGGAUGCAGACGAAGGGGCCCUUCGGUGCGCCGCCGGCCAGAGCAGUGGCCGUGAUUUAGUUGAAGAGUUCGUGGCAUACGGGGUCUGGCCCUUGGCGCACGGCUGGGCGCUGGGCGAAGUGUGCCCUCGCCAGAUGCCUUUUCAUGGAGGGAGGGUGGUGCGAAGUCCCGCCUUUGCACUGAAUUUGCGAAACCGUGACCCGACCGCCUUUGUGCGUGAUGCGGAGGACUUGGCGGUGCGGCUCGUGGGGCGGUACGUGGCGAGGACGGAAGGCCAGCGCAGCUUUGAUAUUCGUGGGUCAAAUGAACGUUUGAACAGGGUCUUCGAAUUAAAUCAAUUGCCGUACGACGGCUACCCUGGUCAAGACGAGGCGGACCACCGUGGGAAGAAGCCGGUGGUGGAGACUGGAAGCGACCCUGCGCUGGCGGCCGCCCCCUCCUCAAAAAGGAGAAAAUUAGGUACUGCGAUGGGAGGAAUUGGGGUGCCUGAUUGUUUUGCUAGAGAGUUAAUGAGGACGUGCGCGGCUCCGGGGGAGAGGAUGUCUUCGCCCGAGCUCCGGGAGUCUUCGGCUCGGAUGCUGAGGGUUACCGGUGGCUGCUGGCCUAGAAAUGUUCCUAUCCCCUGCGCGGCUGAGGAGGACUGUUUUACAUCUCGUAUGGUUCAUCAGUGGAGGGUUUUUCCUUACGGGCGAAAUAUCGGUGCUGUUGUGUGGGCAGUGAUGGACAAGGAUCGCCAAGGGGCGGCGCAAAAACGCCAGGCGACUAUCAGGAUUCACGAAGCCCGGCCGAAGAGGCAGCGGGGAACAGCGAAGGCUGCGGCCUCCAGCGGAGGCAAGCCGCCGCUGGCGGCGAAGGCGGGCGCCUCUGCACCUAGCAAGGCGCCGGAGACAGCGGCGGGCGCCGGAGUCUCCAAACUGACGAAGGUGGUGCCGCCGGCCAGCGGAGUGGCGGAGGCUUCGAAGGCGGCCCGAACGUUGCCGCCACCGGGCAAACGCGUUGCCGACUUCGGCACCGACAUUAGCGUGGACGAUUAUCUUGGGGGUGAGUCGCCCGGCCGCCUUUUUUUUUUACGUGCUCGUUGAUGCGCUGCAGGGUCGGACGAAGGCCGGCUUGCUAUAGUUGCGCCUUCCGCGGCGAUCGCGACGGCUGCGCCGUCGUCGAAGGCGAGGGACGGGACCCUUGGCACCGGAGGCGAGGUGUCGGCCCUCGCAUUGGUCAGGGACGAGGCUGGUGCGGCGACCCGCCGGCUGAAAGGAGUGACGGAGGCGCUGAGUCAGGCGACGGAGGCACUGAGUCAGGUCCGCUGAGCUGUUAUUAUUUUUUUUAUCAUUAUAUAUAUAUAUAUUAUUAUAUUUUUUUUUACGGCCAUGGCCUUACGUGUGCUCUGCAGGUGGCUGACUUCACCAGCCGCACUGCGUCGGGGGCUCUCACGGCGGCUUUGUCUGCCGAAGUCGAGAGACUUCGGACGCAACAUGCUGACGCUGUCCGUGAGAAGUCGGCCUCCGACAGCAAGUGUCGUAAACUAGCGGACAAGGUGGCUGCACUGGAGGAGGAAAAGGCUGUCCUCCGGCGCCAGCUGGCGGGGGAGAGGAGGGAGGCCAACGAGGCUAUCGCCAAGGAGCAGGCCGCGCAGGCGGAGGCUAGGCUGGCACGGGCGGAAGGCAAUCUUGCCAAGGAGCUCGCCGAAGACCUGCGGGAGCGGCUCACCGCUCUGGAGAGCCGCGCGAAGGGGGCCGAAGCCGCGGUGCGAACGGAGGCCGAACGGACGCGCACGCAGCUUAUGGCCACAUAUCGCGAGCUGGGUGCACGGACCGGUGACUUCGUGGUGCCGGAGCGAGAGGCCGGGCUUCGCUGUCUGGAGUGGGUGCAAGAGGAGCUGCAGGAGCUCCCCACUGUCCUGAGGGGGUUAAUGUCGUUCGCCUCCCUGGUCACCUGCGAGGGGGCGAUGAACGCACUCUCUCGCGAAGGGUGCCGGCAUUAUGAGGCCUUCGACCAGGCGGAUGAAGAUUUUGGGCGGAAUAUCUAUAAGGUCGAAGACCCCGUGGUGAAGGAGUCCGCCGGUGCCCUCUAUGACCGGAUGUGGGGUCUGUAUGGUGGUGAUGUGGUCAGGGAGCGGGCCGAGGCUACGAGGGCUCAGGUAACGUUGUCGUUUGUUCGGCGUUUGCUGGAUGUGGUCUGUGCGUGUGUUUGCUGACUUUUUGUAUAUUUUGUUUUAGGCGGAGCGAGGCGAGCGGGUGGACGACUUCGGAGCAUUGAACAGCGCCCUGGCUGACCCGGAGCCGACCCCUGCAGAGGCCGCGACCCGAGCCGCCUCGGAACCAACUCCGGAGACCGCAGAAACCGCACCAGGCGCCCCCACAUCUGCCGCGACAGUUGAAGACCUGUCCCUGAAGGUGGCCGAAGGCGCUCCCGAUGCCCUCGCGGCAGCCGCGCCGACCAGCGGAGAUCCCGCGGUGGAGGCGGUUGAAACAAUGGCGGAAGUGCCGGCGGAGCCAACGGCGGAGGCUCCCGCAGCGUCAGGGCCCUCGCAGGUGGCGUAGUGGUUGUUUAGGGUUGGGAAAUUUUGGAUGUUGUACUGAAUUUUGGUUGCUGCGCAGGUUCAAGAUUUUGGGCCUGCGCACGCAACCACUACUACUGAGUUUUUGGCGGCUUCGACCGCGGAAGGUGAUAAUGAAUAUAGUGGGUCUGCAUCUGAGUUUUUUGAUUUUGACGACUCCGGGAGUUCGGUUGAAUGGACUGAGGAGUCGUCGGAAGAGGACUUGGAUUAUUUUGCGGCCUUGGACGUGGCUGCGGCGGAGGCUUCGCCACACGCCGCGGACGCGCCAGACGUGCCGGGUCCUAGCACCGGGCGCCGUCGACGAAGGGCGGUUGCAAAAUGUAGGGUUAGCGCGGAGGAGCGGGCUCAGCUUUGUGUGAGCAGGGCUGGUCGGCAGGAACUGUUGUCUGUGCCGACCGCCGCGAGUAUAGGGGAGGGGGAACUGCGAAGUCUUUUUGCGGGUGAGGAGCUUAGGAUAAUGUUAUUUAAUUAUAGAGAGAUGGGCGUUAUUCCUAAGGUUGAGCCGAUGUAGAUUGUGGUGCCCUCGCUUGUAUAUGUGUGAAGGCUUGUACGAUGAAGUUGUGUGCCCUCGCGUGCCUGUGCCUGCGAGGACGUUGUGUACCUUUGUCUGGUGCGGUUGAUGCUGUGCUGGUGUGAUUAUAGUUGUUCUUAGCGCGGGUGGUUUGAUGCUGUCGUUUCUGCCUUUGUUGUACUGGUUCGGUUGUGCUCUUGGGCGGCUUCUACGCGGAGUCUUUACGAUAGACAUUGGAUUUUUUCGCACUUGUUGUGCUAAGUCCGGCUGCACCCUUGGGCGACUUCUGCGCGGAUAGUCUUCGCGAUAGACAUUGGAUUCUUUUCGCACUUGUUGUGCUAAGUCCGGCUGCACCCUUGGGCGACUUCUGCGCGGAUAGUCUUCGCGAUAGACAUUGGAUUCUUUUCGCACUUGUUGUGCUAAGUCCGGCUGCACCCUUGGGCGACUUCUGCGCGGAUAGUCUUCGCGAUAGACAUUGGAUUUUUUCGCACUUGUUGUGCUAAGUCCGGCUGCACCCUUGGGCGACUUCUGCGUGGAUUUGUCGCACGCGAGGGUGGCUAGCGCUUGGCCUCGCGGUGACUUCGAAUCGGUCGAAUGCCGAAGACCGUUGUCGCGGUCUUUUUUCGACAUGUUUUUGCGGGGGAUUUUUCUCACAUAUAUUACAUGGCUCCGCCUCGUUAAAAACCUCACCCCCCGGGAGGAAAAGAGUGCGGGCCAGUUCAAGAUUGUUUGUGGCGAAUUACAAGGGCGAGAUCAGCCCUAAAUGAGUCAAACAAAAAACUUGCGAAGGUUGUCGAUGUUCCAGGAAUGCUCCAGGUCCUCGCCAUGUGGCGUUGUGAGCCUGUAAGCGCUGGGGGAAGCUUUUGUCUUGACUAUGAAGGGGCCCUCCCACUUGGGCUCCAACUUGCCCUUGGACUCCGUCCGAGCUGUUCGGACGAGUACGAGGUCCCCCUCGCUGAACUCCCUCGGGAUGACUGUAUGGUCGCGCCAUGCUUUGGUCUGGGCUUGGUAUUUGCUUAGGGCCUGUAGGGCGAAGACCCGGUCUCCGUCAAUGAGAUCUUUUGAGGUUGGCUCGUCCACAUUGGGGACUGCUGACGGGACUGUACGCGGGGACCCGUGCUUUAUUUCUUGCGGGGUCAUUGCCUCCGAUCCGUAUAGAAGGCGGAAAGGAGUGAACCCGGUCGCCCUGCACUCAGUUGUGUUUAGCGCCCAGACUGCCUCCGGUAAUAAAUCGGUCCAUCUGCCUUUUUUUUCAUCGAGGAGCAUCUUCUUGACAGCUGUGAAGAUUUUCCCGUUGGCCCGCUCCACGACCCCGUUGGACUGCGGAUGAUAGACUGAAGCGAAGGCAAGCUUGGUGCCGAUGGAGAAACAAAAAUCCUUGAAAUCUUGAUUGUCGAACUGCUUGCCGUUGUCGACUGUUAGCUCGGAUGGUACUCCGAAGCGGCAGACAUUGUUCUGCCAGAAGAAUUUUUGGGCAGUCUUUGAUGUGAUUGUGGAAACAGCCCUCGCUUCGAUCCAUUUGGUGAAGUAUUCGACGGCUACGAAGGCAAACUUAAGGUUCCCCUGAGCGGUGGGCAGGGGCCCGACAAUGUCUAGGCCCCAGCGCUGGAGAGGCCAUGUAUGGGCGAUCAGCUUUGUAUAUUGCGAGGGGUUGCCUGACCGGGGAGAGAACUUCUGGCAGGCUUCGCAGGACCUUGUGACGCGAUUUGCGGCGCAGAUUAUUGCGGGCCAGUAAAACCCUUGUCGGAUCACCUUGGCAGCCAGGGCCCUUGGACCUGCGUGCGAGCCGCACGUGCCACUGUGGACUUCGCGUAGGAUCUGCAUGCCUUCGGUUUCAGUGACGCAUUUAAGCAUUGGCUGACUGACCCCUUUCUUGUAUAACUGGCCCUCAAUCAGUGCGAAGUCCCGGCUUCGGUGCCUGAGGCGCUUUGCCUCACUGACGUCGGUUGGAUGAUAAUACCCCUGUAGAAACAGGGUUAUUGGUGCCCGCCAGUCUUCGGUCAUGAUUAGGUUGACUAUGCGGUGGCCCUCGCUAUCAUUAGUUAUGUGGAGCCCUUCGGGGCUCCGGACGGCUGGCGUGCCGAUGGUGUGAAAGAAUACGUCGGAAGGCAAGGGCUCGCCCCUGGCGGCGGCCUUGGCUAAUGCAUCGGCCUCCUCGUUCUUGGCCCUGUCCACAUGUUGUAAGGUGAAUCCCUUGAACUGUCUCUCGAGGCUUCGAAUGGCCGCGAGGUAUUGCAUGAGCGCGGGGUCUUUUGCUGCGUAAUCUUUCUCGACCUAGCCGGUGACUAUCUUGGAGUCUGUCUUGAUGAUACAUGUGGUGACUCCGAGGGCCCUUAGCUUGCGGAGGCCUAGAAUGACCGCUUCAUACUCUGCUAUGUUGUUUGUGCAUCUGUCGGACUCCAGAGCGAAGCUGAGGCGUGCUGCAUAUCUGUGUUUGAUUCCUGCUGGUGAGGUGACUACUGCAGCGACGCUUGCCCCCGCAUGGCACCAUGCGCCGUCGCAGUGGAUGGUCCAGACCUUCUCUGUGCUCGGGUCCGGCUGUGUUGCUGGCCCGGUCCAGUCGACGACGAAGUCUGCCAGGACUUGUGAUUUGAUGGCUGUCCUGGGCUCGAAGCUGAUGUGGUAGCCGGAGAGUUCGGCUGCCCACUUGGCGAUCCUCACCGAUGCCUCCGGGUUUCUGAACAGUUCGCCGAGCCCCCUGUUUGAGGUGACACGGACCUUAAAUGCUUCAAAGUAAUGGCGCAUCUUGCGCGAGGACAUAACAACUGCGUAGGCGAUCUUCUCCAGCUCUGUCAUGUUGCAUUUGGACGGUGUCAGGACCUCGGAGACGUAAUAAACGGGGCACUGUCUGACAGCGCCUUCGACUGUCUGCUCCUGCACUAGUGCCGCGCUGACUGCGUGCGGCGAAGCCGCAACAUAGAGCAAUAGGGGGAGCGAGGAGUCGAGGCUUGUGAGGAUGGCCAGCUCCGUUAGAUAUUGUUUUAAUGAGGCGAAGGCCGCUGCUUGCUCCGGCCCCCAGGCGAAGUCUUUUGCGCCGCGGAGAGUUCUGAGGAAAGGAAGACUUCUCUCGGCCGACCUGGUGAUGAAUCUGUUGAGAGCGGCCAAUCUGCCUGUCAGACGCUGGACGUCCCUGACGGACUGCGGAGGCGACAUGUCGAUGAUGGCCUGGAUCUUGGUUGGGUUGGCCUCGAUGCCGCGGCGCGACACCAGGUAGCCCAAUAUCUUGCCCUGGCGAACACCGAAAACGCAUUUUUCCGGGUUUAAGCGGAGUCGUGCAUCUCGCAUGUUUGCGAAUGUCUCGGCAAGGUCGGUGAGAUGGUCCGCCUUAUUUUUGCUGGCGACGACGAUGUCGUCCACAUAUGUAAAUAUAUUUCUGCCGACCUGCCCUUCGAGUACUGUUUUGGUGAGUCUGGAGAAGGUGGACCCGGCAUUCUUGAGACCCUCCGGCAUUCUGAUGAAGCAAUAAGUGCCGAAGGGUGUUAUAAAGCUGGUGCUAGCCUUGUCUUCCGUCUUCAUGUAUAUCUGGUGAUAGCCGGAGAAGCAGUCGAGGAGAGACAUGACCUCGCAUCCGGCCGCGCUAUCGACUAUUUUGUCGAUCCGUGGCAACGGGAAAUUGUCUUUUGGGCAGGCCUUAUUGAGACUGGUGAAGUCUAUGCACAUCCGCCAUUUCCCGCUUUUUUUCUGCACCAUUACAACAUUGGAGAGCCAUGUGGGGUAAGCCACUGGCUCGAUGAAUUUAGCCUCUAGGAGGCGGUGCACCUCCACCUUGGCGGCCUCUGUCUUUUCGUCAGACAUUUUGCGAAGCCUUUGCUUUCUUGGUCGCACCGAGGGGUCAAUUCCCAAACUGUGCUCGAUUAAGGAUCGGCUGACUCCGACCAGGUCGAGGGCGGACCAGGCGAAGACAUCUUUAUUCUUGGCCAGGCAGCAGAGGAGCUUCUCUUCUUCAUGCGGAGUAAGGUCUUCGCUGAUGGUGACUGUCUGCUUUGGCGUGGCCUGAUCGAGGGGGACAGUCUUGGUCCCAUCCUGACUCUGCAACUGGGCCUUGUCGUGCUGCUUGUCAGUUGGGCUGGCGGGCGCAGGGACCUCGCACUGUGUCGUGAGAUAGUGCACGUUCCUCUGACCAGGCACGAAGUCCCGCUCUAUGUUGCGCGCUGUCUGCUGGUUGCCGUGGACUGUAAUUACGCCUAGCGGGCCUAGUAUCUUCAUGCACAAAUACAGUCCGUGGAUGGCAGCUUCAAACUUAUUGAUGGAGCCCCGACCCAUGAUGGCGUUGUAUGGAUAUACCAUAUCCACAAUGUCAAAAGUCACUUGCUCGCUUCGGGCAUUGGGUGCUACACCGAAGGAGAGGGGCAACUCUAUUUUGCCGACGGGAAAGGUGCCCUUGCCGCCGAAACCGUACAAUGGGUUGUCUGAAGGCUUGAGCAGGCUGUGGCUUAUGCCCAUGCGGUCGAAAGCGUGGAGGAAGAUGAUGUCUGCCUGACUGCCGUUGUCAACUAGGACUUUGUGUAGGUCCCAGCCCGCCACGCUACAAUUGAUGACCAUAGCGUCGAUGUGGGGGGCGCUGCGCAGGUCGACGUCUCGUGCGUCGAAGGUUAGCGGUAUGUGGGACCACUUCGUCUGUACGACUGGGCCAGUGACGGCGACAUGGUUGAUGAUGCGGUAAUGGUCCCGCUUCUGCCGCUUGGUGUCGAAGUCAGUGCUGGACCCCCCAGUUAUCAUAUGAAUGACUCCGCGAUAAGGUUGAUCGGCGAAGUCUUCCUGCUUUGGGGCAUUGGGGAUGUUUUGUUGUUGCUGGUGUGGUGGUGGGGGCGGAGGAUGUACGAUUUGUACUUCCUGAUGAUGUUGGUAAGCGUGGUGCGGUGGAUGCGGGGCGGGAGCGUGGAUAUAUGGUGUAGGGGGUGGCUGGUAAUUAUGCGCGACAAUUCUGGGAUUGUCGGCUGGCUGCGCCCUCGCCAUUCUGUCUCUGGUGGCCUUCACUUCGGGGCAGUCUUUGGUUUGGUGGGCGCAGUCUUCGCCAUGGAAAAGGCAGAAAAAUCGGCGCGGUGGAGGGGGUGGCUGCGCACGCCCUCGGCCCCUGCCGCGAGUUCCACUUCCGCGGCCCUGGGGGGGAUAUUCCUGGCGACGAAGGGGGUCAGCGGUCGGCUGCUGGUUGGCAAUGUUGUGCACUUGCUGCUGAGCGCGGCCAUCUCGACCGGAGUCUGGUUGCGGAGUCCUUGUCCACGUACGGCUGGACUGCGGGGCAUCUUUGGGUUUCCGCUGUGACUCAACCUUGCGCUGGUGGAGCUCUUCGGAUUUGGCAUAUUUUUCGAAGAGCUGAUAUAGCUCCUGCAAGCUCUUGGGUGGGUCUCUGAUACAGUGGCUGUAGAGGACGCCGGCCCGAAGGCCACUGAUGGCGUAGUGGAUUGCGAUCUGGUCAUCGACGGAGGGCAGCUGCGACUUGAGUGUUAAGAAUUUGCGGUAAUACUCUCGCAGAGUCUCCUUUUCCAGUUGUUUGCAAAGCGAGAGCUCGGCCAAGGCGUCGGUGUCUGGGCGGUACCCUUGGAAGUUGAGCAGGAACUUGUCCCUAAGACUUCUCCACGAAUCAAUGGACAGUGGAGGCAAUCUGGUGAACCAAGUGAGUGCUGGGCCUUCUAGGGCGAUGAUGAAAGACUUCGCCAUUGUGGCGUCGUCCCCGCCGGCGGAUGCAACAGCGACCUGAUAACUCAUUAUGUAUUGCGCUGGGUCGGUGCUACCGUUGUACUUGGGAUAAGUCCCCGCCCGGAAGUUGGCUGGCCAAGGCGUCACUUGCAGGUGUGGAGCCAGGGGACUUCGCUCAUCGAGGUAGUUGACUCCCUGGAAUGGCGCGCCGUGCUGGAAGGUGUAGUCGCGCUGGGGGAAACGCGGGCUUUCCGGCCGUGCCCGGUGAUGCAGGGGUGGGCUGUGCUGCAGGCCAAGGUGGCCUUCGCACGUGUCUUCCGGUUGCGUGCGCUGCAUCAGCGCGAUCUCGCGCUCGAGGUCUUGGGCCUUCUGCUCCUCGUCGCGUAUCAUUUGCCGCACUUUGGCCAGUGCGGACACACGCUGGCGCUUGGCCUCCGAUAACUCUUUCUGUCUCUGAAGGUUGCGGUUCUUGAGGCGCAGGGCACGCAGCUGUAACUGUUCUUCCGUUGAGACGCCGAGGACCUCGCCAUCCUCGGUGGGGCCUGCGCCGCCCAGUGGGGCGAAGCCUGGGGGCGGCUGCGAUUGUCCUUCGGUUCCGUGGGUGCGGAGGGUGGCGUCUUCGCCGGUGUGGGGAACAUUGUCUUCCGUGGGCUCUUGGUGGGUGGAUUGGGUGAGGGCGAGGGCCUUGCCCUUUUUUGCGGCCAGCAGUGCUGCCUUCGCAGCCUCGUCAGCCUUCGGGUUAGCUCUCUUGGGUGCCAUCGCGGGUGGUUUUAUCGUAGCACGAACGGUGGGCGCCAAAUGUUGGCACCCUGCCCUCUGCAGCAAGGAGGCCAACAAGGGUGAACAGUGGUGACAACAGGGAUACGUACUCGGGGGCAAUAGCUCUGUUAAUCUCCUUUGUUACGGGCACUGUGUGGGGGUAUUUAUAGGUAUCCGAGUGCACGGCGCCUAGCGCUAAGCACGCAUGUGCCCUCAGGUACCUAGUUUAUCCCUAGAAUAUUCCCAUAAAGCGGGGUUACAAGCUGUAAUUACAAGUGUGCCUUUACAAAUUAGGCCCGUAACACAAACGCGGCCACACAGGGCCAGUUACAAUGGGCCAGAUCUUAUGUGGGCCUCAGAGCUGAAUGAGGCCGCAACGCGGGGAGGCGUUGCCGCAGGCCUUCGUCUGGUGCCGAGUCGAGCGAAGGGUGUCCCUGCCUGCUUUAUCUGUCAGGGCAGGGGUUAAGCGGUGGAGACUUCGGGCAAAGGGUGGCGUUUCUGCCUUCGCUCCAACACAAUCCUUGCUAUGUCUGGACCUGGUAAGUUUCCCCGUGUUGAGUCAAAUUAAGCCACAGGCUCCACGCCUGGUGGUGCCCUUCCGUCAAUUCCUUUAAGUUUCAGCCUUGCGACCAUACUCCCCCCGGAACCCAAAGACUUUGUUUCUCAUAAGGUGCCAGCGGGGUCCUAUUAGUAACACCCGCUGAUCCCUGGUCGGCAUCGUUUAUGGUUGAGACUAGGACGGUAUC